GGACUACAAGGGUAUCUAAUCCUGUUUGCUCCCCACGCUUUCGUGCAUGAGCGUCAGUGUUAUCCCAGGGGGCUGCCUUCGCCAUCGGUAUUCCUCCACAUCUCUACGCAUUUCACUGCUACACGUGGAAUUCUACCCCCCUCUGACACACUCUAGCCGUGCAGUCACCAAUGCAAUUCCCAGGUUAAGCCCGGGGAUUUCACAUCGGUCUUGCACAACCGCCUGCGCACGCUUUACGCCCAGUAAUUCCGAUUAACGCUUGGACCCUACGUAUUACCGCGGCGGCUGGCAC
rnacentral:rRNA from 2 species